UACGUAGGGUGCGAGCGUUGUCCGGAAUUACUGGGCGUAAAGAGCUCGUAGGUGGUUUGUCGCGUUGUUCGUGAAAACUCACAACUCAAUUGUGGGCGUGCGGGCGAUACGGGCAGACUGGAGUACUGCAGGGGAGACUGGAAUUCCUGGUGUAGCGGUGGAAUGCGCAGAUAUCAGGAAGAACACCCGUGGCGAAGGCGGCUCUCUGGGACGGUACUGACGCUGAGACGCGAAAAGCGUGGGGAGCGAACAGG
rnacentral:rRNA from 1 species